CAGAGCUUAUUGAGACAUCUGUUUUGUUCUCUUUUCUGCCAACCAGGUUUUUCUGUCUAUGCAUUUUCUACAUGGUCUCAAAAGUCUACCAUGAAUCUCCGGCUACAAACCCUGGGAUCCAGCACCCAUUCUCAGGACUGGCAAAGGUUUCUGUGGAUCUUAAUUUAAAUCCUGUGUAGAGAGUCAGACAGAGCAGCUUUUAGAUACUAGAAGAAGGGUGCUCACAGAUCACUGCUUCCAUGGCUUCUGUGCCAUUCAUACAUCCUUGAUUGAAGCUGCUAUAUCCAGAAGAAUUAGCGGUGGAACCGAAAGCCACCAAUCUGUGGACAGUUCUAAUUACCCAGGGAAAAAAAAUCCAGGCACGAAGGUUAACUUUAAUUGCCAAGUUGACACAACCAGGAAUCAACUGGGAAGAAAGCUUCACUGAGGGACUGUUUGCAUUUGAUUGGUCUGUGGGCAUGCAUGUGGAGGGUUGUAUUAAUUAAAUUAGUAUGAGAAGACCCAGUCCACCAAGGGUGGCAUCAUUCCCUAGGCAGGGUUCCUGAGACAUGGAGCAGAGCACAGGCAGGCAAGCAAGCAAGCAUAAAGGCAUUCAUUGCCUAUCUUCUGCUCUUGGAUGUCAUGUGACUAGCUGCCUGCAGUUCCUGCCUUCACUUCAUCAUGAUGACAGACUGUAACCUGGAAUGGUAAAACAGACAAAUCCUUUCUCUUCUAAGUUGCUUUUUGUCGGGGUAUUUUACCAAAGGAGCAGAAAUGAAACUAUAACUGUAGGCUAGCAAUCACCAUGAGACCAGCCAUUCACUUUGAAAACACACCAGUAACUUAUAUGGAAGGAAGAACAAAAGCAGAUCAGAAUAAGUGAAACUCAUUAUUUUGUAAUCAAGAUAGAAGCUUGAGGAUACUGUCUUAGUUAAGUUUCCUAUUGCUGUGAAGAGACAUCAUGACCAUGGCAACUCAUAAAGGAAAACAUUUAAUUGGGGCUGGCCUAUAGUUUCAGAGGUUCAGUUCAUUAUCAUCAUGGCAGG
rnacentral:lncRNA from 1 species